UACGUAGGUGGCGAGCGUUGUCCGGAUUUACUGGGCGUAAAGAGCGCGCAGGCGGUCGUUCAAGUCGCGUGUGAAAGCCCCCGGUUCAACUGGGGAGGGUCACGCGAUACUGAUCGACUCGAAGGCAGGAGAGGGAAGUGGAAUUCCCGGUGUAGUGGUGAAAUGCGUAGAUAUUCGCAAGAACACCAGUGGCGAAGGCGGCCCACUGGAUCGGUACUGACGCUGAGGUGCGAAAGCGUGGGGAGCAAACAGG
rnacentral:rRNA from 1 species